rnacentral:rRNA from 1 species
AGAGUUUGAUCAUGGCUCAGAUUGAACGCUGGCGGCAGGCCUAACACAUGCAAGUCGAGCGGUAGCACAGAGAGCUUGCUCUCGGGUGACGAGCGGCGGACGGGUGAGUAAUGUCUGGGAAACUGCCUGAUGGAGGGGGAUAACUACUGGAAACGGUAGCUAAUACCGCAUAACGUCGCAAGACCAAAGUGGGGGACCUUCGGGCCUCAUGCCAUCAGAUGUGCCCAGAUGGGAUUAGCUAGUAGGUGGGGUAACGGCUCACCUAGGCGACGAUCCCUAGCUGGUCUGAGAGGAUGACCAGCCACACUGGAACUGAGACACGGUCCAGACUCCUACGGGAGGCAGCAGUGGGGAAUAUUGCACAAUGGGCGCAAGCCUGAUGCAGCCAUGCCGCGUGUGUGAAGAAGGCCUUCGGGUUGUAAAGCACUUUCAGCGGGGAGGAAGGCGNCGAUUGACGUUACCCGCAGAAGAAGCACCGGCUAACUCCGUGCCAGCAGCCGCGGUAAUACGGAGGGUGCAAGCGUUAAUCGGAAUUACUGGGCGUAAAGCGCACGCAGGCGGUCUGUCAAGUCGGAUGUGAAAUCCCCGGGCUCAACCUGGGAACUGCAUUCGAAACUGGCAGGCUAGAGUCUUGUAGAGGGGGGUAGAAUUCCAGGUGUAGCGGUGAAAUGCGUAGAGAUCUGGAGGAAUACCGGUGGCGAAGGCGGCCCCCUGGACAAAGACUGACGCUCAGGUGCGAAAGCGUGGGGAGCAAACAGGAUUAGAUACCCUGGUAGUCCACGCCGUAAACGAUGUCGAUUUGGAGGUUGUGCCCUUGAGGCGUGGCUUCCGGAGCUAACGCGUUAAAUCGACCGCCUGGGGAGUACGGCCGCAAGGUUAAAACUCAAAUGAAUUGACGGGGGCCCGCACAAGCGGUGGAGCAUGUGGUUUAAUUCGAUGCAACGCGAAGAACCUUACCUGGUCUUGACAUCCACAGAACUUUCCAGAGAUGGAUUGGUGCCUUCGGGAACUGUGAGACAGGUGCUGCAUGGCUGUCGUCAGCUCGUGUUGUGAAAUGUUGGGUUAAGUCCCGCAACGAGCGCAACCCUUAUCCUUUGUUGCCAGCGGUNGGCCGGGAACUCAAAGGAGACUGCCAGUGAUAAACUGGAGGAAGGUGGGGAUGACGUCAAGUCAUCAUGGCCCUUACGACCAGGGCUACACACGUGCUACAAUGGCAUAUACAAAGAGAAGCGACCUCGCGAGAGCAAGCGGACCUCAUAAAGUAUGUCGUAGUCCGGAUUGGAGUCUGCAACUCGACUCCAUGAAGUCGGAAUCGCUAGUAAUCGUAGAUCAGAAUGCUACGGUGAAUACGUUCCCGGGCCUUGUACACACCGCCCGUCACACCAUGGGAGUGGGUUGCAAAAGAAGUAGGUAGCUUAACCUUCGGGAGGGCGCUUACCACUUUGUGAUUCAUGACUGGGGUGAAGUCGUAACAAGGUAACCGUAGGGGAACCUGCGGUUGGAUCACCU